rnacentral:rRNA from 1 species
UGACCUCAAAUCAGGAGGAGCCCCA